GGGAAGCUGAGUUUGACACCGCGGGUCUAAGAGCGGCAUUCUGCAGCAGCGGUUAGCGCACCGGGCUUCCGGCCAAAACGAGCCCCCGCGUGUGACACAUUGGCGAAGGAGGCGAACAGGUUCCAGCAUGCACUGGGGCGGUACAGGAAAUGCACUCUCUCCAAAGACGGGGAGACGGAGAGCAAAGGGGUGAAAGGUCAAAGGGUGCUGCGGUGGCAGAUUAUAACCCUCGCCCAUGCAGGGGGUCAUUGCGUCAG